rnacentral:rRNA from 1 species
UACGUAGGCGGAAUAUUAAGUCAGUGGUGAAAUCCUGCGGCUCAACCGUAGAACUGCCAUUGAUACUGAUAUUCUUGAAUAUAGUUGAGGUAAGCGGAAUGUGUAAUGUAGCGGUGAAAUGCUUAGAUAUUACACAGAACACCGAUUGCGAAGGCAGCUUGCUAAACUAUUAUUGACGCUGAUGCACGAAAGCGUGGGGAGCGAACAGGAUUAGAUACCCUGGUAGUCC